CGUAGUCGUCAGAGUAGUUUGUAGCCGUGGCUACGGGACGAACGCUGGCGGCGUGCUUAACACAUGCAAGUCGAACGAUGAAGCCUAGCUUGCUAGUGGAUUAGUGGCGAACGGGUGAGUAAUACGUGAGUAACCUACCUUUAACUCUGGGAUAAGCCUGGGAAACUGGGUCUAAUACCGGAUACGACCAAUCUCCGCAUGGGGUGUUGGUGGAAAGCGUUAUGUAGUGGUUAUAGAUGGGCUCACGGCCUAUCAGCUUGUUGGUGAGGUAACGGCUCACCAAGGCGACGACGGGUAGCCGGCCUGAGAGGGUGACCGGCCACACUGGGACUGAGACACGGCCCAGACUCCUACGGGAGGCAGCAGUGGGGAAUAUUGCACAAUGGGCGCAAGCCUGAUGCAGCGACGCCGCGUGAGGGAUGACGGCCUUCGGGUUGUAAACCUCUGCUAGCAGGGAAGAAGAGAGAUUGACGGUACCUGCAGAGAAAGCGCCGGCUAACUACGUG
rnacentral:rRNA from 1 species